UUAUACAGUACCAGCAGCCUGACUUUAUGCAACAAUGAAUCAACACUUUAUUUAUAUCAUUACACUAUUUAUAUAAUAUAUUAUCAUUUGUUUGGCAGAUGCCCAGGAAAAAAAAGUUUUCAUCAGCAGUCGCCAGAAGGGCUACUCAAAGAGGGGUCCGAGACAACAAGGUGUCAGUUCUUCCUCUCUCUCUGACAUUCUUAUUCAUCAGUUCAAUCAACUGUUCUUGACGAUUGCAGUUCAAGAGAUGCACUGUGAGACAAAGCAUGGAAGUCAUUCUUCAUUGACCUCACCAAUGAACCCACUGAUACCCCAUGCCUGGAAGAAGCGACAGAUUCUGAUGAUGCCCAGGCAAAAAAGAAAGUUUGCAUCGGCACUUAUUGGAACGGCUACUCAAAGAGCCUACUAUUAAGUACAAUAUUCCCAUCUUGAUUAAGUAGAUAUACCUUGUUUGAAAGAACAUUGGCAACCAAAUAUUGCAUAAUUCUAUUUUCAAAUUCAGUUUAGAGUUUAUUUGCAACAGUUGAAAUUCAC